ACUCAUACUCGGAUAUGAUAUCAUGCCCAGCGAAAGAGAAAGAAAGCAAGCAAAAAAGUCCCAUUUAUUUUCUUCUAGAGUCAUUUUUUUUCAUUUCUUUUACGUGCCUGUU
rnacentral:ribozyme from 1 species